rnacentral:miRNA from 14 species
CCUUGGUAUCAUGUGCAUAUAG